AGAGUUUGAUCAUGGCUCAGAACGAACGCUGGCGGCGUGCUUAACACAUGCAAGUCGAGUGCGCGGUUGUAGCAAUACAACUGGCGCACGGCGCACGGGUGCGUAACACGUGGGCAAUCUGCCCUCCGAUGGGGAAUAACCCCGCGAAAGCGGGGCUAAUUCCGCAUAACAUUCCCUGGACUCUGGUUCGGGGAUUCAAAGCAGCAAUGCGUCGGAGGAGGAGCCCGCGCCCGAUUAGCUAGUUGGUGAGGUAACGGCUCACCAAGGCAAUGAUCGGUAGCUGGUCUGAGAGGAUGGCCAGCCACACUGGAACUGAGACACGGUCCAGACUCCUACGGGAGGCAGCAGUGGGGAAUCUUGCGCAAUGGGCGAAAGCCUGACGCAGCGACGCCGCGUGGGGGAUGAAGCUUCUCGGAGUGUAAACCCCUUUCGACCGGGACGAAUGCCCGCAAGGGAGUGACGGUACCGGUAGAAGAAGCCCCGGCUAACUACGUGCCAGCAGCCGCGGUAAGACGUAGGGGGCCAGCGUUGUUCGGAAUUACUGGGUGUAAAGGGUUCGUAGGCGGUGUGGCAAGUCGGGAGUGAAAUUUCUGGGCUUAACCCAGAGGCUGCUUCCGAAACUGCUGUGCUCGAGUGUGGGAGAGGCGCGUGGAAUUGCAGGUGUAGCGGUGAAAUGCGUAGAUAUCUGCAGGAACACCCGUGGCGAAAGCGGCGCGCUGGACCACUACUGACGCUGAGGAACGAAAGCUAGGGGAGCAAACAGGAUUAGAUACCCUGGUAGUCCUAGCCCUAAACGAUCAGGACUUGGGGUGCCACCCGUUCGGGUGUCGUCCCGGAGCUAACGCGUUAAGUCCUGCACCUGGGGAGUACGGUCGCAGACUGAAACUCAAAGGAAUUGACGGGGCCCGCACAAGCGGUGGAACAUGUGGUUCAAUUCG
rnacentral:rRNA from 1 species